ACCUGGUUGAUCCUGCCAGUUGUCAUAUGCUUGUUUAAAAGAUUAAAGCCAUGCAAGUUUAAAUAUAAAUUCGAUUUAUAUGUAUAAUAAGAUUGCGAAUGGCUCAUUAAAUCAGUAAUCAUUUAUUCGGUAGUAAAAUUAAUCAUAAGAAAGAUUAAUUAAAAUUAGAUGGAUAACUGUGGUAAAUCUAGAGCUAAUACAUGCUUUUAAACUCGUAAUGCGAGUGAGCAUAUUAGGUACUAAACUAUACUUUUUUAAAAUUGUAUGGUGAUUCAUAAUAUUCAAUCAGAUUGCAAAAGGUAAAGAGAUUUAUUUCUUUAUGGCAACAAACCGAUUAAAUUUCUGCUCUAUCAACUUUGGAUGAUAGUAUAGUGGACUAUCAUGGUUUUAACAGAUACGGGGAAUUACGGUUCGAUUCCGGAGAGGGAGCCUGAGAAACGGCUACCACUUCUAAGGUGGGCAGCAGGCGCGCAAAUUACCCAAUUCUAAAAUAGAGAGGUAGUGACAAUAAAUAACAAUGAACAUAAAAUAGUAUUUUUUUACUACAGUUCAAUUGGAAUGAGAACAAUAUAAAAAACUUAUCGAGAAUCAAUUGGAGGGCAAGUCUGGUGCCAGCAGCCGCGGUAAUUCCAGCUCCAAUAGCGUAUACGGUCAGUGUUGCAGUUAAAAAGCUCGUAGUUGGAUUUAAAAAUGACUAAAUUAACUAAUAUUUAGUUAAUUAAAAAAAUUAUUUAAAUUUAAAUAGGAAAUAGGGCUUUUGCCCUAGUAUAAUUGAAAUAUUAUACCUUUUUUUGUUUCCAUUUAUUUUUUACUUUGAAUAAAUUAGAGUGUUUAAAACAAGUUUUUAUUUAAUUAAUUUUGAAUAUAUUAGCAUGGGAUAAUAAAAAAUGAUUCUUUAUAAAAUUUAUAUUGUAUAGUUUUGUUUAUAAAGAAUAAUGAUUAAUAGGAAUGGUUGGGGGUAUUCGUAUUGAAUUGUCAGAGGUGAAAUUCAUGGAUUUUUUCAAGACGAACAUCAGCGAAAGCAUUUAUCAAGGACGUUUCCAUUAAUCAAGAACGAAAGUUGGGGGAUCGAAGAUGAUCAGAUACCGUCGUAGUCUCAACCAUAAACUAUGUCGACAAAUGAUAAUAAUUUAAUAAAAAACAAUUUAAAGUGUUUAUGUUAAUUAUUGAAAUUUUAAGAGAAAUUAAGAGUAUUUAGACUCUGGGGGAAGUAUUGUCGCAAGGCUGAAACUUAAAGGAAUUGACGGAAGGGCACAACAAGAUGUGGAUUUUGCGGCUUAAUUCGACUCAACACGGGAAAACUUACCAGGUCCAGACAAUCGAAGGAUUGACAGAUUAAAGAUCUUUCUUAAUUGAUUGAUUAGUGGUGCAUGGCCGUUCUUAGUUCGUGGAGUGAUUUGUCUACUUAAUUGUGUUAACGAACGAGAUCUUAACUUAUUAAUUAGUAAAUAGAAUAGGUUCUGAAUUUAUUCUAAAAAAAUUUAUUUUUACUUCUUAAAAGGACAUUUAAUAUUUAAAUUAAAGGAAGUUUAAGGCAAUAACAGGUCUGUAAUGCCCUUUAGAUGUUCUGGGCUGCACGCGCGAUACAAUGAAAAUUUCAAAAAGUUAUUAUGAUGUAAAAGAGAUUUACUUUUUUACUUUUCCUUAAUAGAAAUAUUUGGGUAAACUUUAAAAUAAUUUUCGUGGUGGGGAUUAAUAAUUGUAAUUAUUUAUUAUGAACGAGGAAUAUCUAGUAAGUAUAAUUCAUCAAAUUAUGCUGAUUACGUCCCUGCCCUUUGUACACACCGCCCGUCGUUCCUACCGAUGAAUGAUAUGGUGAAAUUUUAGGAUAUCAUUAAAUUUUAAAUUUAUUUUUGAAAUUGAAGAUAAAAUUUAAUUAAAUCCUAUGAUUUAGAGGAAGGAGAAGUCGUAACAAGGUAUCCGUAGGUGAACCUGCGGAAG
rnacentral:rRNA from 1 species